rnacentral:tRNA from 1 species
UGCGAGGUGGAGCAGACGGUAGCUCGUAAGAUUCAUGAUCUUAAGGUCACAGGUUCGAGUCCUGUCCUCGCUAC